CCCACGAAAAGUUUCUUAUGAAACCGGAAGCAGAGAAAGAACAUCUUUGUCUAAGGACCUAAAUAAAAAAACAAACCAGUCUGAUUUCAUCUACAAUUCUGCGAUUUCAGGGUAGUUUAGAAGCAGAGGACCUCAAGGAGGGGGGAGGGGUACCCACGUGAUCCAGCAGGUGUGAUGCUACACCCAGCCAGAGGGUGGCAGCACCUUCCACACGCCCUGUGAGCAUCUCUUCUGACCACUCCAGGGCGUUUUUAUGGGAUGGCCUUCCCUUGCUCACCCAGCCUCUUCUUUAUUUUCUUCUGCUUUGUGAAAGUGGGUUAAACAGCACUCGGCUUUGUGAGGAACACGGCCAACAAAUGAGAUAUCAAACGCAGCUUCCUGUGUAAGAGAUCAGACUCCGCCGGGCACACACGCCGGGCUCUGCUGGAGCUCCUGGGCUCUGCAGCCAGCUUCAUUUAGGAUUCAUAAAUACUUUUGCGCGCUCCCGCACAUACAGCCGCCAGAGGAAUUUCAUUCUGUAUCAUCUGCUUUCAAAUGCAACAAGGUAUUUCUGCUUUGUGGAUUGUCUGGAGUCCUCUGGACCAGAAGCACUACUGCCCACAGAAAAAGAGGAACUGGAAAAGGGGAGAAAACCCACCUAGGAGAUGCGGUGCUGACUGAGACAAAGUGGAUCGUUUCCAUUUCUGAAGUUGGGAGCACCUCCAGCUCACACAGUCACUUCCCCUGUCAGAGAAAUUGCAGCCAUUCUCUGUUUACUAUGAGAUGAAGUUCAAAUAUGGCAUCAAAUACCCUCCCAAACAAGCACCUCAGUAUUUCUCAAGUUCUUCUCUGUUCUGAAUAUUCUCCUCCAAUGAGGGGUUGCUCAUUUAUCUUCCCACUUUUCAUCUAUUUAUUCAUUAAAGAAACAAUUAUUGAAUGUCAA